UCUCACUGCAAAAAGACCCCUACACCUUGGGAGGAUUCUCCUGCUGAUGAUCGGCCUAUUUCUCCUUCUUGCUCUGCUGUGCCUUGUGGACAGCAGGGAAAAAGGACAAGGAUGCUGAACCACGACUGUUUCGGGAAAAAAGAAGGAACACUCACUCCACCGAAAUUGCCAAAGUCCAGGAACUCCUGACUAGAAAGGACAUU